GAUCUUAUCAAUACCAUGAUUCGAAAAUAUGUUUCCCAAAAUAUGCCUAGACUUUUCUCAUAAAUGAGAAUGUGAUGAAUAAAAGAGUGAAAAUAAAGGAUAAAAGGCUAAGCGUAAAAAAAUAAGAAACAAGAAGGGAUAUGAAGACAAAUAUGGCCAUAAUUAAGGUGAUUUUAUUCCAAAGAACCUUCCGGAUCUAAAAGAUCAAUGUUUGCGCUAGUAACAGCACCAUCCAAAAUGAGUUCAGAUAACACUUUUCCUGUACCAGGUCCCAAAGUUAUACCCCAACAGCCGUGAGCUGCCGCAACAUAAAUAGAUGAACCAAUUUUUCCAAUGACAGGAGCACCCGUUGCAUUAGAAAUGGGCAAAUAACACGCUUGACGAACUUUAACAGGAGAAUCACGAAUUAUUUGGUGGAAAUGGUUGGCACAUUGUUUAAUCAAAGCGCAUUUAUCUUGAUCCACCUUCGUAUCUGACGACAAUUCAGGCAAAGGCUCGUCAUCGAAUUCACCACAUACAUACAGCUCAUCUUCACGUGCAUAAAACUCCGGAGCAGCAAUUGUCCCAUCUUUAUAGGUAAUUUCAGAAAAUACAGCAUUGCCGUUUAGCUUGAUAGGAAGAUCGAUAGUUAUGCUAUGAAUUCGUGCUCCACUUAUUCGCAAGUUGGGUAUUAAUUGGGGAGUCCAAGGACCGGCAGCGACAAUUAUGUGAGUUGCCUCCAUUGAAUGAAUGGUAUGCAGUUCUUCAGCCGAAGUAAUUUCCUCCUCUUCAUCCGGGGCGUAGUCAUCACCAAUAAGCCGAUAUUCAACUUCAUUUUCAUCAACACUUAAUACAUGACCUUUUACCAAGGUAACGUUUGCAACCUUACUGGCCUCUUCGUAAAUAGCAUGACAAAAUUUAUAAGGAUGAACUUGACCAGAAUUUUUCUUGUUUCCUAAACGAGUAACAUUCUCAACAAUAGAGGGAGCAAUCCAUUCAAUUCCCUCAGGCAAUUUAUCAGGUUGUUGGCAAUUUUCGUCAGCUUUAAUGGACCAAGUAUCUAACGCUCGAUAACCCCAUUUAUUGACUCCAUCAUAUUGAUCCGAUAAUUCUUUGUGUAGGUUGUACGAAAGAGCAGCUAAAGAACUCGUCGAAGGGCCAUGCCAUUCUAAGGAAAGGAAACCAGAUGCUUUUCCAGAAGCGGCAGAUGCAAUACCAGCACUUUCAAAAAGUGUUAUAGUGUCACGAUCACGAUUAAAACUGGGGUGAUGAGCCAAAAAAUAUAAACAGCUCACACCGGUGAUUCCACCUGAAAAAUAUUUGUUAGUAAGUUAUGAAAAUUGCGGCAGUAAAGUAAAAUAGCAAUCAAAGCAAAGCUCAUCUGAGCAUGGCAGGAAAGAAGUUUCACCGUCAUAAAGCUGAUGAACUUCUUGUCAAUAUCAACAACAUCAACAAUAUAUGAGUUAAGAUAAAAGAGAUCAUGAGUCCAGCUAUUUUUAAAGUCACAUACCACCGACAAUUACAAUGUUUCGAGAAUUGCUCAUUGUUAUUUCUAAAACUCGGUUUAAAUUUAAACCAAGUAAUGUAGACUCUGAAAUUUAAUUAUAUACCAAUAAUUCCAAUUUUCAAAGAAAGAUUACGAAUUUAAAAUUUUCACAACGUUGGUGUUGGGUAGUUCGGUGGUCAAGAUGUGCGCGCUAAUCUUCUAAAUCCGUUGAACUUAAAACCAAUAGUGAGUGGUCAGCGCAAGUUGGUAGUUAAAGCGUUUAAAAAGCUCGUCGUCAAUCUAUUUCAAUGAGCACUAGUUAAAUUAUAAAAAAAGAUUAAGCACAUAAACAAUCUCAAUAGUUAAUAGUUAUGCUAUUUACUGAAUUAUACAUGCUACUACUCGAGCGUAGACUAAUUUUAGACUUCUCGAAAAACAACAUGUGUAUAAAAAUAAUUGAAAUUUCAUUUUGUAGAAUGUUUGACUUAAUGCAUGCUCGUGUUCUACCAUUCUACCAACGAUACAUCAAUCAGAGUAUGUUUCUCGAAAAGACAGUUCUGCAACAGCACAAUGUAUUUGCCUUAGAAAAUGUAACAAGUUAAUUACACCGAAAAUAUAAUUGAGCAAUAUUUAAAUAGUGAGUCUUCGCCAAUGAUUCGUCACUUUAUAAAAGAAACGAAGAAACAUUAGCACACAUCGAAUGAUUUCUAAACGAUUUUCAUCUUAACAUUAGUCCUAUUUUACUUCAGAUUGAAAAAUUUUACAGAGUUCUACAUCAAUUUGCGCAACAGACAUUAUGAUAAAUAGAAUAGGGAUUUAAAUCAUUAUAUUUACAUACUCAUAAGAAGAUUUUUAAAGAAAUAUGACAAAAUGUCAAACGAGCCAGCUCUUUCUAUUAAAAAUGAUGAACAUGAUACACACUUCAAAAAAAGGGCAAUCUUCCAACUAAACUAACUUCCAAAAUUAGAAAAAAAAAUUAUGCAAUGGUAGAAAGAUUGCAUCAUUAACCUAUUUCUCAUUCUCCUUAGGCGCCAAUUUUCCAGAUAAUAAACCUGCAAGCAUUUCUUGUGCUCGUUGUGGUGAUUUGAUAGGAGUACUUUGACUUAAGAUUCGGUUAUGAUCCAAAAUAGAAACGGAAGGCGAUACUAAUAUUUUGUUGACGGGCGUUUCUUCAGAAGAAUAAACCUUCUUACCUCCUACUGAUUGAAGAUGUCGUUCAGAGUUUUGUUUCAAUUUUUCCAGACGUUCCAUAUAUGAGGACUUAUUGCUGCCGUCUGGUUUAGUAGCUUGUUGAAAAUUCAAAUCAUUAGUUCCCGAAAAUUUAUUGCUUUUCAAAGGACUCAUUUGCUGCAACAUGCGUCGACGGCCACGGCUAUUGUUUCUUCGUAAAAUAGUGUUAAUAUCAUUGUUACCAGGUUUAGCUCUGGCUGUUGAAAUCGUAGUUGUAGUCGGAAAAGUUUCCUUCAAGUCAUUGGUGGCAUUUUCUAAGUUCCGAGAGACAGCGCUGGUAUCUUCAUUAAGUUCGGUGUUAUUAGGAAUCAUGGGAGCAACCAGAUUAUUUUCGACACCACGAGGAAAAGUAUUCUCCUUUUCGUUAGCAUGUUUACUUGCCCUAGUACCAUUUGAAAUUGUCGGCGUAAGCAAAUUAACUUUAGAAGCCUUUUGAGGAAAUACUUUCUUCUCGUUUGAAAUAGUAUCAGAUUUUAGAGAUUCUUUAGACGGUUUAUUCUGAGGGCUUGUCUGGUUAUUGUUUAUACCUUUAUCCUUUCGAGCUUUACCCGUCUUCUUAGAAUCCCGGUUUUGUGAACCUCUUCUUGAUUUUGAACUAAACCUUCGAAAUUUCUCACCAUUAAAGGGUUUUUGCCUAUUAGAAUCUUCCAAACUGCUUGGAUCAGAAAAAGUGUAAGAAGCGGAGCGACCCUUAUUACUUUUAUUCUUCGAAUUUUUGUUAAGGACAUAGCUAUCAGAUACCUGACGGCCCGAACGACGCUUUUCGUAGUUGUAUCCCUUUUUAGCUUUGCUAGAUACUUCUCCUUUUUUCGUUGGAGUAAUAUUUAAUGCGUCAGAUAAUCCAUCGGUUGAUUCACUACCCUUAGGAUACCUUGGCCUAACUUUUGCCAAGUCACUUUUUACCGAAGAUCUCUUAGGAACAAAUAAUUCGUUUUUUGCAGGACUAGAUUUAGUAGAAGUGUUAGGAGCUUCUAUUAAAUGUUCUUUACCCAUAGUAAUGGCGGAUCUAUUUCGUGGUUUAUGGUGACUUUCUAAUUUGACGUUUCUCAAUUUAUCAAGGAAACCAUCCAUUGCUUCAUUAUCCAUUUUGUUAUUUUCAGACAUUGCACGUUCAAGCACGUGUUCUUUAUGAUUGUUGACAAGAUUCAAACGUCUAUGCUGUGAAGCUUCUUCUUCUUCCGAUUUCAAGUUGUCAGAUCUAGCCUUAGAGUAGUCAAUUAUGAAAGAAUCAACACGUUUAAAGAACAGGUUCUUGGAAUUAGGGUCAUUAGGCUGUUCACCAAAAUAUCUCAUAGCAUUGUUCAGGGUAGUAUUCAUUGUACGUAAAUGCUCUUUCAAAAAAUCCAUUUUUUUGGUGCCUUCCAUUAACCAGGGUAAUAUAACUGAAAGGAUUUUAUCAUCAGGAUGAAAUACCGUAGGGUCGGAAAGAGCCCCAGAAUCACAGUCUAUUUGUAAAUUCUGACAACCACGAAUUAACUCGGAGCACUCUUGUUCAAUCGCUUCAAUAUUCAGUUUGGCUGCUUCAGUGACGGUUGAUAGUUCAGGGGAAAAGUUGUCAAACUGAGGAAAAUGCUUCCUAAUAGUUAUAUCAAGUAUAUGAAGUAAACUUUUAGUGUUAUUGGCAUUUUUUAUCAAUGGAAGUCU